GGAAUCUUCGGCAAUGGGGGCAACCCUGACCGAGCAACGCCGCGUGAGUGAAGAAGGUUUUCGGAUCGUAAAGCUCUGUUGUAAGAGAAGAACGUGUGUGAGAGUGGAAAGUUCACACAGUGACGGUAACUUACCAGAAAGGGACGGCUAACUACGUGCCAGCAGCCGCGGUAAUACGUAGGUGGCAAGCGUUGUCCGGAUUUAUUGGGCGUAAAGGGAACGCAGGCGGUCUUUUAAGUCUGAUGUGAAAGCCUUCGGCUUAACCGGAGAAGUGCAUUGGAAACUGGAAGACUUGAGUGCAGAAGAGGAGAGUGGAACUCCAUGUGUAGCGGUGAAAUGCGUAGAUAUAUGGAAGAACACCAGUGGCGAAAGCGGCUCUCUGGUCUGUAACUGACGCUGAGGCUCGAAAGCGUGGGGAGCAAACA
rnacentral:rRNA from 1 species